AUGAUUCUGCUGGUGGACCUGGCACCCACCCAGGAGACGGUGAACCUGACCUGGUCCCGCGCCAGUAAGAAGCCUGUGCUCCACGUGACCCCAAAGCAGCAGAGGCAGCGCAAUGGCACUGUCACCAUCACAUCCACCCUGCCAGUGGCCACCAGAGACUGGAUCGAGGGGGAGACCUAUCACCGCAGGGUGACCCACCCCCACCUGCCCAGGGCCCUUGUGCGGUCCAUGACCAAGAUGAGCGGCCCGCGCGCUGCCCUGGAAGUCCACGUGUUUGCAAUGCCAGAGGAGCUGGGGAACCGGGACAAGCGCAUCCUCACCUGCCUGAUCUAGAACUUCCUGCCCAUGGACAUCUCGGUGCAGUGGCUGCACAGCGGGGUGGUGCUCCAGCCCUCCCGGUACAGCACCAUGCCGCCCCACAGGACCAAGGGCUCCGGCUUCUUCGUCUUCAGCCGUCUGGAGGUGACCAGGGCCGAAUGGGAGCAGAAAAACGAAUUCAUCUGCCGUGCGAUCCACGAGGCAGUGAAAGACUCACAGACCGUCGAGAAAGCGGUGUCUGUAAAUCUUGGUAAAUGACGCCCUCCUGCCUCUCUCCCUCCCAGGGCUCGGUCCAGCGGUGCGGUGGGGAGGGCUGGCCAGACCUUCUGUCCACUGUUGCCACGACCCCAGGAAGCCACCCCCAAUAAACAGUGCAU